CAGUAGCCGCGGUAAAACGUAGGGCGCAAGCGUUGUCCGGAAUUAUUGGGCGUAAAGAGCUCGUAGGCGGUCUGUCGCGUCUGGUGUGAAAUCCCGAGGCUCAACCUCGGGCUUGCAUCGGGUACGGGCAGACUAGAGUGCGGUAGGGGAGACUGGAAUUCCUGGUGUAGCGGUGGAAUGCGCAGAUAUCAGGAGGAACACCGAUGGCGAAGGCAGGUCUCUGGGCCGCAACUGACGCUGAGGAGCGAAAGCGUGGGGAGCAAACAGGAUUAGAUACCCCUGUAGUCCCUGUCUCUUAUAC
rnacentral:rRNA from 1 species